GUUACCGGUCACACCUUUUCCUUGUCUAUUUAAAGGGUUCAUUUGUUCCACAUAAUUUUCAUUCUCACUGUCCACCAAUGUUCUCUCUCUCAUCUUUUGUUCUGGGUCCAUUGAAGAUUCACAUAUAGGACUAUGGAGACCAUUUUGAGGAGCGAUGGCAAAAUGAUGGAUGACUUGGGAGACCGUUUUGAUGACCUGAAUGAAAAAGUGAACAUCACAGAUGCGCAGUGUAGAGAUAUCCUCGAGCAACAGCAACAGCUGAAGACCGCCUUGAGGAUGCGUCAAGGAGACUGGAGAGGAUGAUCCAUGGUGUCCUGGGUUCGUUUCGUACUGAUGCUGGUCAAUAUGUCACUCCUCCCCCUUCUCCACCACCACAGCUUUAGGAUGUUUCUAGUUGUUUUCUUUGUUGGUGCUUGUUUCAGUAUGAAGUUGUUGUUUGUGUUAGGUUGUUGUUUAAGGAUGGUAGAUGUGGUUGCUUUGUUGGUACUUUUGGAACACCCCCCCCCCCCCCUCUGUAUUUUGUAUGUAUAUUUAAUGUAAGGGUAAGUUAUGUUA